AUUACAGAGUUCUCGCCCUCGCGGGUAGAUCUCCCACCCACUGUAAUUGCUACCGUGUUGCUUUGGCGGGCCGCCGGGCCCAGCCCGCCGCCGGCCCCGGCCGGCGCGUGCCCGCCAGAAGCCCCGCAAACUCUGAAUGUCAGCGUCGUCUGAGUACUAUAUAAUAGUUAAAACUUUCAACAACGGAUCUCUUGGUUCUGGCAUCGAUGAAGAACGCAGCGAAAUGCGAUAAGUAAUGCGAAUUGCAGAAUUCAGUGAGUCAUCGAAUCUUUGAACGCACAUUGCGCCCUGUGGUAUUCCGCAGGGCAUGCCUGUUCGAGCGUCAUUUCAACCCUCAAGCUCUGCUUGGUGUUGGGCCCUGCCCGCUGCGGCCGGCCCUAAAGACAGUGGCGGUGCCGCCUGGCCCUGAGCGUAGUACAUCUCUCGCUCCAGUGCCCGGUGGUAGCCUGCCUAGAACCCCAACUCUCGUGGUUGACCUCGGAUCAGGUAGGGAUACCCGCUGAAC
rnacentral:rRNA from 1 species